rnacentral:lncRNA from 1 species
GAGGCAAAGCUGUCCUGCUGAGAAGAGAUUCUAAAUUCAGCUGAAAAAUGUCCCUCAGCAGAACCCACAGAGGAUGAAAUCGAGAAAGGCAGCUUGACCUCCAGGUGUAGAGGGACAAGGCCUACUGUGUGAAGAUGGUGACCUCAUUCCCCUGCAGCUACCAGCUCCACAAGGCAGGGCAGUGUCCCCAAGAUGUACGUCUCAGCCAGGACCCCCACCCCCAGAGCAGCCAGAGAAAGAGAUGGAGAGAAGCACACAGCCCCUCCCCAAGAUCCAGCACCCCCAUAUCACAGAAUGCUGCAGCUGUGGGUUUGUGGAGGAAGAGCAGGGACUGAGAGUCCAGUCUCUCCUGGCCGUCAGUGCCCUUCCUGGGAUUCAAGAGAGAAACUUCCUUUUCUGCAGUCUAAUGUGGAAAACGUCAGCCACCACACCUGGCCUGCCACACUUCCUUGAUGCUAUUGACAUUUAUAAUAGCAAGCAGGUUUUCUUCCUUUGGGUCCAGAGAUCAGAGUUCUUUGUUGGGAUUGAAAGCAUGAAUGUCUCAUCCGAUGGGGCUUUGGACAGUGGUCAUGAUGUGAAGAAUUAAGAAGCCAUAGGCUGGGAGGCAAACCCAGGGACAUGGCCUGCAGGGGAAGGCCCAUGCAUCUGCCACCAGGCAUGGAUGACCUCAAGGCCAUUCUCCGGUGAACCCAGGGGCGACAGACUGAACAGUGAAUUGCCAAGACCAAGGG